rnacentral:rRNA from 1 species
UACGUAGGGAGCAAGCGUUGUCCGGAAUCAUUGGGCGUAAAGCGCGCGUAGGUGGCCCCGUAAGUCCGCUGUGAAAGUCAAAGGCUCAACCUUUGAAAGCCGGUGGAUACUGUGGGGCUAGAGUACGGAAGAGGCGAGUGGAAUUCCUGGUGUAGCGGUGAAAUGCGCAGAUAUCUGGAGGAACACCGGUGGCGAAGGCGGCUCCCUGGGCCGAUACUGACGCUGAGGCGCGAAAGCCUGGGGAGCAAACAGG